rnacentral:rRNA from 1 species
UACGGAGGAUGCGAGCGUUAUCCGGAUUUAUUGGGUUUAAAGGGUGCGUAGGCGGCACGCCAAGUCAGCGGUGAAAUUUCCGGGCUCAACCCGGAAUGUGCCGUUGAAACUGGCGAGCUAGAGUGCACAAGAGGCAGGCGGAAUGCGUGGUGUAGCGGUGAAAUGCAUAGAUAUCACGCAGAACCCCGAUUGCGAAGGCAGCCUGCUAGGGUGAAACAGACGCUGAGGCACGAAAGCGUGGGUAUCGAACAGG